rnacentral:rRNA from 1 species
AUUAACGCUGAGAUACGAUGUCGAGCUACUACGGUAGUGAAGUCAUUGAUGCCAUGCUUCCAGGAAAAGCCUCUAAGCUUCAGAUUGUAAGGAAUCGUACCCCAAACCGACACAGGUGGUCGGGUAGAGAAUACCAAGGCGCUUGAGAGAACUCGGGUGAAGGAACUAGGCAAAAUGGUACCGUAACUUCGGGAGAAGGUACGCUCUUAUCAGUGAAGUCCCUUGCGGAUGGAGCAGACGAGAGUCGCAGAUACCAGGUGGCUGCAACUGUUUAUUAAAAACACAGCACUGUGCAAAAUCGUAAGAUGACGUAUACGGUGUGACGCCUGCCCGGUGCCGGAAGGUUAAUUGAUGGGGUUAGACUUCGGUCGAAGCUCUUGAUCGAAGCCCCGGUAAACGGCGGCCGUAACUAUAACGGUCCUAAGGUAGCGAAAUUCCUUGUCGGGUAAGUUCCGACCUGCACGAAUGGCGUAAUGAUGGCCACGCUGUCUCCACCCGAGACUCAGUGAAAUUGAAAUCGCUGUGAAGAUGCAGUGUACCCGCGGCUAGACGGAAAGACCCCGUGAACCUUUACUACAGCUUGGCACUGAACAUUGAACCUACAUGUGUAGGAUAGGUGGGAGACUUUGAAACCGCGUCGCUAGAUGUGGUGGAGUCGUCCUUGAAAUACCACCCUUGUAGUUUUGAUGUUCUAACGUUGGUCCCUGAAUCGGGAUUACGGACAGUGCCUGGUGGGUAGUUUGACUGGGGCGGUCUCCUCCCAAAGAGUAACGGAGGAGCACGAAGGUGGGCUAAACACGGUUGGACAUCGUGUGGUUAGUGCAAUGGCAUAAGCCCGCUUGACUGCGAGAAUGACAAUUCGAGCAGGUGCGAAAGCAGGUCAUAGUGAUCCGGUGGUUCUGAAUGGAAGGGCCAUCGCUCAACGGAUAAAAGGUACUCCGGGGAUAACAGGCUGAUACCGCCCAAGAGUUCAUAUCGACGGCGGUGUUUGGCACCUCGAUGUCGGCUCAUCACAUCCUGGGGCUGAAGUCGGUCCCAAGGGUAUGGCUGUUCGCCAUUUAAAGUGGUACGCGAGCUGGGUUUAGAACGUCGUGAGACAGUUCGGUCCCUAUCUGCCGUGGGCGUUGGAAAAUUGAAAGGGGCUGCUCCUAGUACGAGAGGACCGGAGUGGACGAACCUCUGGUGUUCGGGUUGUCAUGCCAAUGGCAUUGCCCGGUAGCUAAGUUCGGAAUCGAUAACCGCUGAAAGCAUCUAAGCGGGAAGCGAGCCUUGAGAUGAGUUUUCCCUG